rnacentral:sRNA from 1 species
GCUGGGUGUGGUGUUGCACGCCUGUAAUCCCAGCAGCUUGGGAGGCUGAGGUAGGAGGAUUGUGAGUUCAAAGCCAGCUUGAGUAAUUAUAUGAGGUUUUUAAGCAACUUAGCGAGACCCUGUCUCUA